rnacentral:lncRNA from 1 species
CAGCCACGUCAGCCAAUCGACCCGACGCAGGCGAAAGGCGCGCUCGCCGGCCACGCGCUCGCACACGCACUGCCCGUCGCGGCGCCGGAUCUCGCGUUGCGCGUGCAACCACUCUGCCGUAUCGGCGCGCCCCGCGUCCAUGGCAUAGAAUACGCCGAUGGCGAGGACGGCACCCGACGGCUGAUCCCACCCGCGCCAACGAAAGGCCGUGACGGCGGCGAUGAUAGCCGGCAGGGGUGCCGCGGCGACGGCAUCGGCCAGCAUGUCGGCCUCCUGGAGGAUCUUUCGCGAUCGCGCCAGCAGCCACGAUUCACACAGUAGCACAGAGAUGACAUUGACACAACCGCCGGCGAUCGCGUCGGUCACGAUCUGCACAAGGCCGCACGCGUCGGCCGCGCGCCGCGCGGCAUCGUCCGUGCCAUCUGCGCCGUCGCCUGGUGGACCAUGCGGAAGAUCAUGCCCAGAGGAUUCUCCUGUCGUGGGUGUGCGUCGGCGCCACUGUGACUCGAACGAAUCGAGCGCCCAGCGCACAAUCUCGGCGCGGUCACUAGACGCUGCGGCGGCGACGAUGGUCAGGUCGGGCUCAUGGCGCCACUGCGCAAACACGUCGACCAUGGCGUCCAAAGGCGCCUUUGCUGAUGCCGCAAAAGCGCAUGGACGGUGCGCGUAAGUUUGCGCUGCCAGGGCCACGACGCACUCGACACAAAACAGUCGCGACGCCAGGCGGCACGAGGCGUGGUCGGCGCCGCUCAAAAGAGACACGAGGUGGGCGACGAUUUCGGGCGGCAGCGACGUCAAACUGCAUGACUCGCUGACGGCGUCUUCUCUCUCGUCGCUGCCGUCACCGUGAUGUUGCUCCAUCCAUCCACACGCCCUCGGUGUUCUAUUUGUCUCAUGAGCGGCCGUCUUUUUUUUCCACACGCAACCCAUCCCAUGGCGUCUGCUUUGUGUUCAAAGACCGAUCACACCGCGAUGGCUCUGCUGCGCGGCAGUCACAUUGUGCAACAACCCCGCUUUCCGUGCGCCUUUUUUCUGUAUCUUUUUCUUCUUUUCCCCCUAUGUCCCUGUUGAGGUUGGACAUUGCAGCCCGCGUAGCGGCCUCGACGGGCGCCUUUGCAUGGCAGAAAAAAAGAGUCGUCCCGACGGUGGCCGCCACGAUGCGCCGCGUGACGAAACCAUGCGCCCCAUGUAUCCAGGACCCACGGCGACUGCUCUGCAUAUUUUUUUCCCUCACCUGCGGGCAAAAAAUACAGAAACACAAUAGGCGGCGUUGCUUUUUGG